rnacentral:misc_RNA from 1 species
AGCAUCUUAUAAUUUUCCUAAUCUAUAUACAUCCAUAGUGUGCACCCAUGUGUAGAUCAGUCAAGGUCUACUUCAAAAUUGAAUAUGGAAAUCAUACUAAAAUUUAUUGGAAUUGAAUUGAUUAAGAUAUAUUGAAAUUGACCGAUUCAUUUUCAUAUUAAAAUCGAUUUUUUCCUUUUAAAUGAGAAAACAUGUUAAAAAAUAAUUAUUAAAUUUGAUUAAAAUCA